GACGAACGCUGGCGGCGUGCUUAACACAUGCAAGUCGAACGGAAAGGCCCUGCUUGCAGGGUACUCGAGUGGCGAACGGGUGAGUAACACGUGGGUGAUCUGCCCUGCACUUCGGGAUAAGCCUGGGAAACUGGGUCUAAUACCGGAUAGGAGCCAUUUUUAGUGUGAUGGUUGGAAAGUUUUUUCGGUGUAGGAUGAGCUCGCGGCCUAUCAGCUUGUUGGUGGGGUAAUGGCCUACCAAGGCGGCGACGGGUAGCCGGCCUGAGAGGGUGGACGGCCACAUUGGGACUGAGAUACGGCCCAGACUCCUACGGGAGGCAGCAGUGGGGAAUAUUGCACGAUGGGCGCAAGCCGGAUGCAGCGACGCCGCGGGGGGGAUGACGGCCUUCGGGUUGUAAACUCCUUUCGCUAGGGACGAAGCUUUUUGUGACGGUACCUAGAUAAGAAGCACCGGCUAACUACGUG
rnacentral:rRNA from 1 species